rnacentral:lncRNA from 1 species
GAUCUCCUCCUACAUCCUACACCAGAGAGACGAAUUCCUCGUGGCUGCUGAGGGCCUGUGUCCUCUCUCCUCACCCAUGACGUUAUGUAGUAUGAUGCUCUAACAUGUGGAAGGGGUUACCUGUGGCCUGGGUCAGAAAAUGGGGACCAGGAGUGACAGAGUUUCUGGAGUGGCAGCUCCAUUCCUAAAAAGGGAAGGGAUGAGAGAAGGUUUUUAGGCCCUAACUUUAUGAUAGCUGAGCGUAAGGAUGCUGCCUUCUUACGACGCAUGGUCCCUUUGGCUUGGGAUGGUAGUGCGCCAGCGGGACGCUAGAAGAGGUUGGCGGGCCUGAGGUUCGUUCUGUCCUUGCUCCGUGGAUUCGGCUGCUGAUCAAGCAACUUCCCCAAGCCUGAAGUGAAUUUUGCUGGAAAAGACGUGGAAAGCAAUUUGAGCUUGCACUUGUUUUUGGGAGAAGAAAUACGCAAUAGAUUAUGUUUUGUUGAAGAUCACAACUGAAUGCUCUUCAUCUUUCUCCUCUUGAAUCUUGGAAACAUAAAAUUUGGACUCUGUGUCAAUAGGAGUAUCUAUACAGUAUUGUCCAUCCAGUAAGAACCAGACCUCAAAAGACAUUUCUAGCAUUUAUGAAAGUUUAAUGAAUUUAGGAAUUUGGCAGUGACAUUUUUUAUCCUGGAGUUGUGUCCAAUUGCCAGCAUUGCACCUUCCUGUCUUAGCCCUGGAUAUGCUUGUGGCUGUUUUUAAGGGGAAUAUACUGUUUAAUGCUCAUUGGGACUGGACAGUCGGGCCUGUCCGAAGCAUUGGGAGGUUUUGAGGCAGCAAAAUGCAACCAAAGCGGCUCUCCCGUUACUGAGGACAAAACCCCGGGAGGCUAUUUCACCCAGUUGCUUCCCGUUCCAGGACUGAAGAGGAAGAAAGGCGAGGCAUGGAAAACAAACUCCCAAUCCUCUGAAGCUCUUUCUAGUGAGAUGCAGACAUAG